rnacentral:rRNA from 1 species
GACGAACGCUGGCGGCGUGCCUAAUACAUGCAAGUAGAACGCUGAAGGAGGAGCUUGCUUCUCUGGAUGAGUUGCGAACGGGUGAGUAACGCGUAGGUAACCUGCCUGGUAGCGGGGGAUAACUAUUGGAAACGAUAGCUAAUACCGCAUAAGAGUAGAUGUUGCAUGACAUUUGCUUAAAAGGUGCAAUUGCAUCACUACCAGAUGGACCUGCGUUGUAUUAGCUAGUUGGUGGGGUAACGGCUUACCAAGGCGACGAUACAUAGCCGACCUGAGAGGGUGAUCGGCCACACUGGGACUGAGACACGGCCCAGACUCCUACGGGAGGCAGCAGUAGGGAAUCUUCGGCAAUGGAUGGAAGUCUGACCGAGCAACGCCGCGUGAGUGAAGAAGGUUUUCGGAUCGUAAAGCUCUGUUGUAAGAGAAGAACGAGUGUGAGAGUGGAAAGUUCACACUGUGACGGUAUCUUACCAGAAAGGGACGGCUAACUACGUG